UAACGCGUGAGGAACCUGCCUUUCAGAGGGGGACAACAGUUGGAAACGACUGCUAAUACCGCAUAACACAUAGGUGUCGCAUGGCAUUUAUGUCAAAGAUUUAUCGCUGAAAGAUGGCCUCGCGUCUGAUUAGCUAGUUGGUGAGGUAACGGCUCACCAAGGCGACGAUCAGUAGCCGGACUGAGAGGUUGGCCGGCCACAUUGGGACUGAGAUACGGCCCAGACUCCUACGGAAGGCAGCAG
rnacentral:rRNA from 1 species